GCGCGGCCCGGUCAGUUAUGUCGUUGCGCUAUGCAGCCGCCACCGCCGCCGCCGCCGCACGCCGGGCAGCAGCAGACGGCUCAGGGCAGAGACUACCGAAGAGACUACCGGCGACCUGCGCACUGCCGGAUAGCAGGGCGCUAGGGCGAAAUGCAGCCGCGAUCGGCGAGCAACCUGGCCCGGCUGGUAGCGUCAAAUUCAGUGGCGAUUCAGGAUUUGGGCCUUCGGGGCUCCACGUCUGGAUGCCAUGUGAGUUUACAAGUUACAACCAUAUGUCGCUCAAAUGGCAAUCCUGAAAUCUUCAGACUAUAGAAUGCAGGCUGUCAACAUACUGCUACGCAUCAACCAAGACAAAUUAAAACAUGUCCAUCAGCCAUUCGGCCAAUUAGAGUAUGUAUUCGUUUCAAAAAAAGAGGAGUUGGUGCUGUGCAAGUACAGCUUGAUUUUUUUUUGGUUGCAUGUUCCUCAGUUCAUCAUCUUACUCACCCUUGUAUUAUCAACAUGAAAGCUAUUAUAUAUGGGAACAUAUCUAGUGCAAACCACAGCUUCGUGAAAACCCUUACACUACUUCUCUACUACAUGCCUACUGUUUGAAUUUGUGGCAAGCUCAUAGUUUUUCGAGCCUUCCAUACAACAUGAUCUUAUAGUUCAUUGUCAGUCAACCAAAAAAAA